UCAUCAUGUGGUGUAAUCCUGUUUCUCCUUUUGGAGAGCAGAUUAGAACAGGAUGAGUGAUUAACAUCUCUGCGUAAUCGGACUUCCAGCACCUGAUUGCUCCUAGGGUAAA